AACGGCCGCGGUAUCCUAACCGUGCGAAGGUAGCGUAAUCACUUGUUCUUUAAAUGGGGACUAGUAUGAAUGGCAUCACGAGGGUUAAACUGUCUCCUUUUUCUAAUCAGUGAAACUAAUCUCCCCGUGAAGAAGCGAGGAUUAUUUUAUAAGACGAGAAGACCCUAUGGAGCUUAAAACAAAUUUACACCUGCUUUAAUAUACCACCCUUCCUGAACAUUCACACGAAUUAUGGCAUGAUUGAUAAAUAGUUUUCGAUUGGGGUGAUCAUGGAGAAAAAACCAACCUCCACGACGAUAAGGGAACANNUCCCUGAGCUAAAAGCCACAACUUUAGGCACUAAAAAAUUAACGCACUUUGACCCAAUUACUUGAACAACGAACCAAGUUACCCUAGGGAUAACAGCGCAAUCCACUUCAAGAGCUCCUAUCGACAAGUGGGCUUACGACCUCGAUGUUGGAUCAGGGUAUCCCAGUGGUGCAGCCGCUACUAAAGGUUCGUUUGUUCAACGAUUAAAACCCUACGUGAUCUGAGUUCAGACCGGAGCAAUCCAGGUCAGUUUCUAUCUAUAAAGGGCUUUUUCUAGUACGAAAGGACCGAAAAAGCAUGGCCAAUGACUCAUUAAGCCAUAUUAGCUACUCAUGUUUUCAACUUAAUUAGAAAUAAACCUAACACAAGUCUCAAAAACAGAGAAGUUAACGUAGCAAAACCUGGCCCUGCAA
rnacentral:rRNA from 1 species